rnacentral:rRNA from 1 species
UACGAAGGGGGCUAGCGUUGUUCGGAAUCACUGGGCGUAAAGCGCACGCAGGCGGGUCGUUAAGUCAGGGGUGAAAUCCCGAGGCUCAACCUCGGAACUGCCUUUGAUACUGGCGACCUUUGAGUCCGGGAGAGGUGAGUGGAACUCCGAGUGUAGAGGUGAAAUUCGUAGAUAUUCGGAAGAACACCAGUGGCGAAGGCGGCUCACUGGCCCGGUACUGACGCUCAUGUGCGAAAGCGUGGGGAGCGAACAGG